GUGGGGAAUAUUCCGCAAUGGACGAAAGUCUGACGGAGCAACGCCGCGUGAGUGAUGAAGGUUUUCGGACUGUAAAGCUCUGUUGUUUAGGACGAAAGUGCCUGUUGCAAAUAGUUCCAGGUAUUGACGGUACUGAACGAGGAAGCCACGGCUAACUACGUGCCAGCAGCCGCGGUAAUACGUAGGUGGCAAGCGUUGUCCGGAAUUAUUGGGCGUAAAGAGCAUGUAGGCGGGAAUCUAAGUCUGUUGUGAAAAUGCGGGGCUCAACCCCGUAUUGCGAUGGAAACUGGGUUUCUGGAGUGCAGGAGAGGAAAGGGGAAUUCCCAGUGUAGCGGUGAAAUGCGUAGAUAUUGGGAGGAACACCAGUGGCGAAGGCGCCUUUCUGGACUGUGUCUGACGCUGAGAUGCGAAAGCCAGGGUAGCGAACGGGAUUAGAAACCCUGGUAGUCC
rnacentral:rRNA from 1 species